rnacentral:rRNA from 1 species
ACUUAAAUUGAAGAGUUUGAUCAUGGCUCAGAUUGAACGCUGGCGGCAGGCCUAACACAUGCAAGUCGAGCGGCAGCGGGAAAGUAGCUUACUACUUUUGCCGGCGA